UCUACCACUCUACCCACAGGGAUUCACAUGCAAACUAAUUUCAAAUACAAACAUACUUUUUUUUUACUUUAUUCAAUACCACAUUGAACCACAUAAUUUUUGUCCCUCAAAUGUUCAAAGAUACCUCAACUUUACAUGUGCCUCCCAUGAUAAAACCAAAACCUUAUCAGAAAUACAUUUUUCUCCUCCAUACACCAUCAUCAAAACCAAAUACAAUAACAAUGGAGCCAUACAUAAUACAAUAUAAGUUUUUUGUCGUAACGAAGGGAAGAAAUACAAGAUUUUUUACCUCCUUCAAUGAGGUAUCUCAGCAAGUCAUUGACUUUCCGGAUGCCGAAUACUCCGCCUUCAACUGCCAGGCAACUGCCGUCAGGGCAUAUUCAGCAAGGCUACAAUCCAUGGAAGCUGAGAGAGAGGAAUUACGAAAAAUGGGGGCAGAGUUCCAAGAUCCAGUUUAUUCCUCAAUGGAGAAUCUGCGCACCAUCUCCACCGCGAAUAGACGUUGAGCCAAGCUCUACUGGACCGUUAAUGUCAUUCCCCCUUUCAAGGCAGCUUUCGGCAACUAUGCAAUCAAUGUGAACAUGGAGGAAUGACUGCUAAAGGUUUGCUACGGGUCCUCCAUCCCACCUUCGGCAUUCUUCCACAACGAGAUUGGGAUCCGCAAUAGUGGCGUCCACUACGCUUUCACCGUUGUCAUCCCAGGCAAUCCCUUAGGCCCAUAUAUCUACGCCAAGGGUCGGUACUUGCAGUGUGAGUCAGAUGCCAGGGAGGACGCCACAUUCAACAUGGUUGAGAAAAUUCUCGAGGUCACCGGCCGAGAAAUCCGAGACUACAAUUACAUUCAAGCAAUCAUGCUCGCCAUGGCCAAUAGCGAACUCACCCACCAGGUUAAACACCUCAAGGAGAAGUGUCACACUCAUGGCUACAACAAUAGUUCCGAUCUAGUCUGGCCAUAGUAGAGUGCCGAUCCACUGCGACUGAUUGGGAUCUGAAAAGUUUGUUUCACUAUGCUAUAUGACUAAAUCAAUUAAACUAUAUGUCAUUACCUUCCAAAUCCUAAUGUUUCCUACUAUUGUAAUACUUCUUAAUAUCCUUAAUCGAACUAUAUAAUUAUGAUUGAAACACUUUGCAUGCUGUAAUCACAUUUCAUAGAAAUUUAGGAAAUUUCUCAUA